UAAUACGGGGGGAGCAAACGUUGUUCGGAAUCACUGGGCGUAAAGGGCGCGUAGGCGGUCCUGUUAGUGGUGUGUGAAAUCCGAUGGCUCAACCAUCGAGCUGCGCCCCAAACUGCAGGACUUGAGUACAGCAGAGGAAAGUGGAAUUCCCGGUGUAGCGGUGAAAUGCGUAGAUAUCGG
rnacentral:rRNA from 1 species